rfam:Stegodyphus mimosarum contig18954, whole genome shotgun sequence.
AAAGGGGCCCUUUUCAGGGCCAUAUAAAUUUAAUAACAGAGGUGU